ensembl:processed_transcript D330023K18Rik RIKEN cDNA D330023K18 gene
GGUGCUCUGGAAGGGGGCGCGGCUGCCGCCUCCGAGGUCCUUGAGAUCGUUUUACUGCAAAACGCAACUCUGGUCACGCAGGGACCUGAGCGGACCACCUCGGCACUCUUCAAUUGGCCUCCCAGGACGGACUUCCGGCAAAGCCCCUGUACCUGAGAGGACCAGAAGAUGGUGUCAGAUCCUCGGGAGCUGGAAUUGCUGGCAGUUGUGUGUUGCCUGACAUCAUGAGUACUAGAAAGUUAACUCAGGUCUGUGUGUCUUUUCAGAAGAGUUCUUUGAGACCCCAAAGCUAGCACAGUGGAAGGAAGCAGAGAUUCGUCGGGGCAUGGUAGCAUCUACUGGCCAUGUCUUCCAGAUUGCAGUGGGAAUCUCAGGCAUCUCUUGAGACUGAGAAGAAACCCUUAAGGCAUCUUUUUGGCAAGUGGGCAAAUGGCAGUCCAGUGGCUUCAGCCCACUGAAGGUGAGCGGGGGGUGAACCUGAGAGUCACUUUUCAACCUGAGACUCUACAUCCUGCUCAACCAGUGACAGAUUGUGUUUCAUGAUUUACCGAGUCUUUGCAGACGUCUGGAGAACUCA